rnacentral:rRNA from 1 species
AGCAGCCGCGGUAAUUCCAGCUCCAAUAGCGUAUAUUAAAGUUGUUGCAGUUAAAAAGCUCGUAGUUGAAUUUCGGGAUUGACACAUCGGUCGUGCCUUAAGGGGUAUGAACUGGUGUAGUCAAUUUCUCGCCUUCUGGAGAACCGCGAUGCCCUUAAUUGGGUGUCACGGGGAACCAGGACCUUUACUUUGAAAAAAUUAGAGUGUUUAAAGCAGGCAUUUUGCUUGAAUACAUUAGCAUGGAAUAAUAAAUAGGACGGCAUGAUUCUAUUUUGUUGGUUUCUAGGAUCACCGUAAUGAUUAAUAGGGAUAGUUGGGGGCAUUAGUAUUCAAUUGUCAGAGGUGAAAUUCUUGGAUUUAUUGAAGACUAACUACUGCGAAAGCAUUUGCCAAGGAUGUUUCAUUAAUCAAGAACGAAAGUUAGGGGAUCGAAGACGAUCAGAUACCGUCGUAGUCUUAACCAUAAACUAUGCCGACUAGGAAGUCAGACGAUGUUAAUUUUUAAUGACUCGUUUGGCAC